CAGCAGUAGCCGCGGUAACACGUAGGGUGCGAGCGUUAAUCGGAAUUACUGGGCGUAAAGCGUGCGCAGGCGGUUGUGUAAGACAGGUGUGAAAUCCCCGGGCUUAACCUGGGAACUGCGCUUGUGACUGCACAGCUAGAGUAUGGCAGAGGGGGGUGGAAUUCCACGUGUAGCAGUGAAAUGCGUAGAGAUGUGGAGGAACACCGAUGGCGAAGGCAGCCCCCUGGGCCAAUACUGACGCUCAUGCACGAAAGCGUGGGGAGCAAACAGGAUUAGAUACCCGUGUAGUCCCUGUCUCUUAUAC
rnacentral:rRNA from 1 species